rnacentral:rRNA from 1 species
UUCCGGUUGAUCCUGCCGGACCUGACUGCUAUCGGAUUGAUACUAAGCCAUGCGAGUCUUUGCAGUAAUGCAAGGCAUACGGCUCAGUAACACGUAGUCAACCUACCCUAUGGACGAGAAUAAUCUCGGGAAACUGAGCAUAAUUCUUGAUAGAUCAUAAUGCCUGGAAUGGUUUAUGGUUAAAAUGAUUCGUCGCCAUAGGAUGGGACUGCGGCCUAUCAGCCUGUUGGUGAGGUAAUGGCCCACCAAGGCGAUUACAGGUACGGGCUCUGAGAGGAGAAGCCCGGAGAUGGGUACUGAGACACGGACCCAGGCCCUAUGGGGCGCAGCAGGCGAGAAAACUUUGCAAUGUGCGAAAGCACGACAAGGUUAAUCCGAGUGAUUUCUGCUAAAGAAAUCUUUUACCAGUCGUAAAACCGCUGGUGAAUAAGGGGUGGGCAAGUUCUGGUGUCAGCCGCCGCGGUAAAACCAGCACCUCAAGUGGUCAGGAUGAUUAUUGGGCCUAAAGCAUCCGUAGCCGGCUUUGUAAGUUUUCGGUUAAAUCCAUGUGCUCAACGCAUGGGCUGCCGAAAAUACUGCAUGGCUAGGGAGUGGGAGAGGUAGACGGUACUCAGUAGGUAGGGGUAAAAUCCUUUGAUCUAUUGAUGACCACCUGUGGCGAAGGCGGUCUACCAGAACACGUUCGACGGUGAGGGAUGAAAGCUGGGGGAGCAAACCGGAUUAGAUACCCGGGUAGUCCCAGCUGUAAACGAUGCAGACUAGAUGAUGCAUUGGCAUAAUAGCCAUUGCAGUGUCUCAGGGAAGCCGUUAAGUCUGCCGCCUGGGAGGUACGUACGCAAGUAUGAAACUUAAAGGAAUUGGCGGGGGAGCACCACAAGGGGUGAAGCCUGCGGUUCAAUUGGAAUCAACGCCGGA